GGCGUCUGCCUCUCGACUGGAUUUUUAAAAUUAGUGAAAUAUAUUCUGACAAGCUUAGAACUGCUAUAAAAAUGGUUAUUUAUGUUUAAGUUGAGUGUGUAAACGAUUCAAUGCAUAAAAUAGUUGAAAUAAAGCAGAGAAAGUCGUUAAUUAAAUUUGGCCAUGGUGA